ensembl:lncRNA
CAAAAAAACGUCCAUUGAGCAGAAGUUCUGCAGGUGGAGGCAUAUUGCUGAUGAGUGAGAUCAGAGGAGAACAGCUAGACUGGUUCGAGCAGACAGGAAGGCUCCACCCAUCUUCUAUACCACUUAUCCUUCCUUCAGGGGGAACCUGGAGCCUAUCCCAGGGAGCAUCGGGCACGAGGCGGGGUAUACCCUGGACAGGGUGCCAAUCCAUUGCAGGGCACAAUCACAUACACACACCCAUUCAUACACUAUGGACACGCCAAUCAGCCUACCAUGCAUGUCUUUUGGACUGGGGGAGGAAAUCGGAGUACCCAGAGGAAACCCCCACAGCACAGGGAGAACAUGCAAACUCCUCACACACAGGGCCACGGUGGGAAUCGAACCCCCGACCCUGGAGGCGUCAGGCGAACGUGAUAACCGCUAAACCACCGUGCACCCAACAGGAAGGCUAUGGUAACGUAAAUAACCACUCUUUGCCACAGAAAAGCAUCUCAGAACACCCAGCUUGUUGAACCUUGAGGUGUAUGGGCUACAACAGCAGGAGACCAGAUGGGGUUCCACUCCUGUCAGCCAAGAACAGCAAUUUGGGGGUCACAGGAUCACUGAAACUCACCAGUCGAAGGUUUGAAGACCAGACAAUGAUGUGCAGUUUCUGAACACUCAAUCCAGAUGAUGGAAAAGAGGAAAAAACAAGGAGAGGAGGAGGAAGAGGAGGAGAAGCGAAGAAGAGGUCAGUUGUCCAUCCUGUGUGACUCAGAGCAGAUGCUGGGGCCGUGCCUGCGGUGUAGAGGCCACUGCUGCCGCUCCCUGCAGUAGAAAAAGGGAAGCGAAAAGGGCUGACAGCUACAGCCUUCCUGUUGGGUUUAAAUUAGGGUAAGAGAAAGAGAGAACUCCUUCUCUCCCACCCUACCAUCCCAUCCAUCCAUACUAAUCACGCGGACACAACAUCUAACCACUAUCAGCAACUUCUGUUUUUAGGUUUAUUUUCAAAGAUUGUCUGAAUGCCUUGUUUUAUUCCUCACACUAAUGUCAGCAUGUUUCGGUAGAAACAGUGUUCCUGGUGAUUGCUAGAAAGCUAGACAGAGUCUAAAGUGCAUCUGAAAAUCUCAAAGGGUCCCCGGAAGCCUGCAGCCUAUCCCAGGGGACUCGGGGCACGAGGUGGGGGACGCAAUGGACAGGGUGCAAACCCAUCAAAGGGCACAAUCACACACGCAUUCACACAUCACAGACAAUUUAGAGAUGCCAAUCAGUCCACAGUGCAUGUCUUCGGACUAGGGGAGGAAACCGAAGUACCCGAGGAAACCCCGGAAGCACGAACAUAUAGCGCUAUGUGUGCGCAAGUGUGUCAGGUGACAGAAGGAAAACCUUUACUGAGAGCGGUCCUGAAUCAUGUCCGAGUCUCUUCAAGCACGAAUCCUCGCUCCUCGUCCAGGUCUACGAUAGAUAUAAACCAGGGAGGGUGAAGGCUAACAUGCUAGCAUGCUAACAUGUGCUUCUUCUGGCGUCUCUAUCUGUAUCCAGCUCUCUCGACAUCUUUUUUCAAACUACUAUCCAC